GGUUUGUCGUUUGAUUUUGGCAUGUGAUUAUGGACUUUCCAAUUGGAUUUUCCUCUGAGUUCAGUAUUUUUGUGAUUUUAAUUUUUAGAACACCAUGCAUUCGAAUUUUGUAAUUUUAUCAUAUGUUGCUGAUAAAAAUUUAUAUAGAUUCAAUAUUGGUAACGUACCUCUAGUAAACAUUGUCUACCUUUUUCGAUUUUUUUAGAAAUUGUAUAUUUGAAAAGUAAUAUAAACCCAAAGUGGUUUCAUAACAAC
rnacentral:lncRNA from 1 species